rnacentral:tRNA from 1 species
GGGCAGCGUAGCUCAGCGGCAGAGCAGGGGACUCAUAAUCCCUUGGUCGGAGGUUCGAAUCCUCCCGGGCCCACCA